rnacentral:rRNA from 1 species
CCUACGGGUGGCAGCAGUGGGGAAUAUUGCGCAAUGGACGAAAGCCUGACCCAGCGACGCCGCGUGAGGGAUGAAGGUCUUCGGAUCUGAAACCUCUUUCAGCAAGGACGAACAGUCACUGUGCUAAUCAUCCGUGAAUUGACUGUACCUUCAAAGUAAGCACCGGCUAACUCCGUGCCAGCAGCCGCGGGAAUACGGAGGGUGCGAGCGUUAAUCGGAAUUACUGGGCGUAAAGGGCUCGUAGGCGUUAUGUCAAGUCAAGGGUGAAAUCCCCGAGCUCAACGUGGGAACUGCCUUUGAAACUGGCAGACUGGAGUGUGUGAGAGGAUAGUGGAAUUCAAGGUGUAGGAGUGAAAUGCGUAGAUAUCUGGAGGAACAUCAGUGGCGAAGGCGACUAUCUGGCACAUAACUGACGCUGAGGAGCGAAAGCGUGGGUAGCAAACAGGAUUAGAUACCCCGGUAGUC